rnacentral:rRNA from 1 species
AGUGAACGCUGGCGGCAGGCCUAACACAUGCAAGUCGAGCGGCAGCGGGCUGUAGCAAUACAGUGCCGGCGAGCGGCGGACGGGUGAGGAAUACAUCGGAAUCUACCUUGUCGUGGGGGAUAACGUAGGGAAACUUACGCUAAUACCGCAUACGAACUACGGUUGAAAGCGGAGGACCGCAAGGCUUCGCGCGAUUGGAUGAGCCGAUGUCGGAUUAGCUAGUUGGCGGGUAAAGGCCCACCAAGGCGACGAUCCGUAGCUGGUCUGAGAGGAUGAUCAGCCACACUGGAACUGAGACACGGUCCAGACUCCUACGGGUGGCAG